rnacentral:lncRNA from 1 species
GAUAUACCAUUUUCUUUGUUUACCGUAGAGGUUAUUGCGGGGACUUAUGUGUAUAUAAAAUCAUGUCCGUUUCUCAUUUUUUCUAAUGUGGGACUUUGUUUGUACCCAACUGUUAUUUCCUCCACAUAUUAUUCUAAAUUAGCCAUAUCCUCUUCUCUUUUUUUUCUUUUCUUUACUUCUCAAAAUGUCAUGUCAUCCCC